UAGGGAAUAUUGCAAAAUGGGCGAAAGCCCGAUGCAGCAACGCCGCGUGGGCGAUGAAGGCCUUCGGGUCGUAAAGCCCUUUUUGAGGGGAUGAGGAAGGACAGUACCCUCAGAAUAAGCCUCGGCUAACUACGUGCCAGCAGCCGCGGUAAAACGUAGGAGGCGAGCGUUAUCCGGAUUUACUGGGUGUAAAGCGCGUGCAGGCGGAUUGGAGAGUUGGAUGUGAAAGCUCCCGGCUUAACUGGGAGAGGUCGUUCAAUACUUCCAGUCUUGAGUGCAGUAGAGGGAAGUGGAAUUCCGGGUGUAGUGGUGAAAUGCGUAGAUAUCCGGAGGAACACCAGUGGCGAAAGCGGCUUCCUGGACUGUAACUGACGCUCAGACGCGAAAGCUAGGGUAGCAAACG
rnacentral:rRNA from 1 species